rnacentral:RNase_P_RNA from 1 species
UGGAGGUAUCGGAUGGUUGCCCGCCUCUUCGGCGGGAGGAAAGUCCGAACAUUCAUUGUGAGGUGUCGCGCAUGCGCAAUCUCACAAAAGGGUAAUGGGUAAUUCCCAUCGGGAGUAAUCCUAGAGGUGCGAGCAGAAACGACCCGGUUAAGUCCGGCUGAAACGGUCCCGAUUCCGUUUACGGAACCGAGGACUCCGACCUCGCAAGAGCGUCGGAGCAAAAUCCUUAUCUGAAUGCAAGGCCGUGUCCCGAGAGAAAUCGAGGGAAGUGCCGCUUGAUCCCGACGGUAACGUCGGGACUAGAUAAAUAGCUAUCGUCCGCUAAUCUGGCGGAACAGAAUUCGGCUUAUAGAUACCCACAAAAC